AGUGAACGCUGGCGGUAGGCCUAACACAUGCAAGUCGAACGGCAGCACAGUAAGAGCUUGCUCUUACGGGUGGCGAGUGGCGGACGGGUGAGGAAUACAUCGGAAUCUACUUUUUCGUGGGGGAUAACGUAGGGAAACUUACGCUAAUACCGCAUACGACCUACGGGUGAAAGCAGGGGAUCUUCGGACCUUGCGCGAUUGAAUGAGCCGAUGUCGGAUUAGCUAGUUGGCGGGGUAAAGGCCCACCAAGGCGACGAUCCGUAGCUGGUCUGAGAGGAUGGUCGGCGGCAUGGGAGCUGAGACGCGGUCCAGAGUCCUACGGGAGGCAGCAGUGGGGAAUGUGGGGCAAUGGGCGCAAGCCUGAUACAGCGAGACCGCGUGGGUGAAAAAGGCCUUCGGGUCGUAAAGCCCGUUUGUUGGGAAAGAAAAGCAGCAGGUUAAUACCCCGCUGUAGUGACGGUACCGAAAGAAUAAGCACCGGCUAACUUCGUG
rnacentral:rRNA from 1 species